GGUGUGAGAAGGGACUGUCCCCAUGGCUGCCCUCUGCCUGGUGGUUUUCCAGGCUCCUUGACUAGUGGCUCUUUGCUUCCCAGAAGUGGAGUCUGUAAAAGCUGUACCCCUCCACAGGACCUGGGGCAGAGGGACAGACUGGUGAUCUAUUAUUGAAAAGGAUUUGGGGCUGGACAUGGUGGCUUACACCUGUAAUCCUAGCACUUUGGGAGGCUGAGGUGAGCGGAUCACCUGAGGUCAGGAGCUCGAGACCAGCCUGACCAAUGUGGUGAAACCCUGUAUCUACUAAAGAUACAAAAAUUAGCCAGAAGUGGUGGCAGGCGCCUGUAAUCCCAGCUACUAGGGAGGGUGAGGCAGGACAAUUGCUUGAACCCAG
rnacentral:lncRNA from 10 species